CUUUACUCUAGCUUGGCACUGAGUCGUACAUAUAUUUGUGCAGGAUAGGUGGGAGACUAUGAAAGAUGGACGCCAGUUCAUCUCGAGUCGUCGUUGAGAUACCACCCUUGUAUAUGUAUGCCUCCAACCCCUUUUUGGGGGACCGUGCUUGGUGGGGAGUUUAACUGGGGCGGUUGCCUCCUAAAACGUAACGGAGGCGCACAAAGGUAGGCUAGGUCCGGAUGGAAAUCGGACUGGUCGUGUAUUCGCACAAGCCUGCUUGACUGAGAGACCUACAAGUCGAUCAGAGACGAAAGUCGGUGAAAGUGAUCCGGCACCAACAUGUGGGAGUGGUGUCGCUCAACGGAUAAAAGUUA
rnacentral:rRNA from 1 species